ACAAUAUUUUUUUAAUGCCUAGUUUCAGCCUACACUAACAUAUGAUGAUGUUCAAAGAGGUUUGGAGCCUUUGUUCUCUCCGUGUAUCAAGAAAAUAAUAACUUUAUAUUGGUUAUUCCAUCGAUUUAGGGAGUAUUAUGAAGUUUUAUUAAAUUAAUUGAUAAAAACCAUUGAACGAUGCUCAUCUAAUACUAUAAAGAAGAGCUACUCUCUUAUGUGAGGCUGCCACGUCAUAAAAUAGGUCUCUCUAAGCGUGCCACGUGUCUCCUCUCUCUAAACUCACCGUUUAAUUAAACAAAAUUUGGGUUUGUUUGUUUACGUUGGGCUUCUUCUACCCAUUCUGGACCGUGAACGCAUUUUGGCCGUCCAAGUCUACACCGUAUCAUUAUGCGUCGCGUUUUGGAUUAGGGUUCGCUUUGUCUCCGCCUUCUCCAUCGUGUGAUCUUCCAUCUUCUUCAUCUGGUGCGAGAUGAAGCAGUAACCUAUUCCCCUCAUAAAGCCCCAUAAUCAAUCACACACGAUCUUCAUUGAAUGCAAAGCGGUGGAGGCUCUGCUAUAAAAAGGUACGAGUUCAUACUUUCAGAAUCAUCCUUCGAUCUAAACUAAUCAGUAGACAACAAGUUUGAGUCAUGGCUAACGAUUUGGUUUUCCUCUCCGAUCUACAGACUGGUCGCUCUUCCUCCUCCGUUGAAGUAGCCUGCUCCGAUUUUGGGAGGCCAGGAACAUCCGGCGUGGUGAAGAGCUUAUGGGAGUCAACAUUAUUAAGGUUUUGGAUUUAGAUCUUCGUUAGGUGUUUCUAAUCAUAAACUCCUGGUGGAUAGUGUUCUAAAUUUUCAUCUUAAUUAAGAUGAUUAUGUUUAUAAAAUCAUGUUCAAAGUGUUCUUAACUCAUUUUCAUAUUAAUUUAUAAAUUGUUUGUUGAUUAUGCUUCUUUCUUAAUGUGAUUCUGUUCGUAAACUCAUUUUUGUAUCUUCUCAUCAUUUCACCUUAUAUAAAUCUUCAUCAAAAAUUAUUCUCUUCACAUUAUUCGCUAUUCAAAAAUAAACGCAGCGGAGAUUAUUGACUUCCAAAUCUCUGAAAUAUUCCAGCAAGGCCCCAAUGCUCAAUUCUUCAGUGACCUCGCUCCUGGCUUGGGGAGUCCGAGCUGUGCAGUGAAUAUGUUGUCCUGGCUUGCAGAGAAGGUCGGAGGUGGUGAUGAUGACGGUUCGUUCCUCAACAGAAGAAGAAGGUAACACACUCAAUAUUCUUGAGAGUUCUGAAGGAGAAUCAUGUGAUUGAAGCAGCAAUGAACGUGCCUGAUUUGUAAGUGAUGUGUUCUCUGUUGAAUGUUGAUACUUGGAGAUGAAGUUAGAGUCAUGGACUCAUAGAGAUUAUUACUGAAGUCUAUGCUCUGUUAAAUGUGAAGAGUUGAUAUUGUAAACACAUGUUCCUUUUAAUAUUAUAUCUCAUGAGUCAUCUCUAAUCUGACUUUUUGUGAUGCAAGAAGUUCUUGGGCUCCUUCUGCAAGGUGUAGUUGCUUCCAAUAUUUCUGCUCAGCUCUUACCUUGGUCAUAUUCUGGAGGAUAUUUGGAUAACUUCCUCCAUUCAUUAAGAAACAGCUACUUCUCCAUCCUCAGCCUCAUGAUGCUGCUCAGCUAUCCCAUGUAAGAAUAAGAAAAAUAUGGUAUCUGUCAUCUUUUUAAUGUAGGAGAUGAUGAGUCCCACAUCAAAUGGUAUUUUAGAAGUUAUAGAAAGCAACAAAAGUGAGUCAAUGCCAAAGAUUUCAUGGUGAGUCUAAUGAAGGUUGUUAUAGCACGGUUGAGAAAUGGUGGUAGGGUCAUGGUGACGGCAGAGUCUGAGUGGCAAGGAGCUGGUGUGGUCACGGCUUGGCAGUGAUGGCUGUAUGACUUCAAAAAAAACACAGAUCAAAGCUGAUGAGAGAAGAGAAGGAAUCAGAGGUAAAGAAGAGAAGGGAGAAGAUAGUUUAAAGAUAGGUUUUUGCGUAUACAUUUUUGGUAAGCCACAGAAGAAAAAUUAUUAGUAGUCUGGUUACAUUUACUUAUAAGUUACUUUUUUGGUUUAGCUGCAAUUUGGUUCACUAUUUGUCUUUGUCGACUAAUUAUUUGAUAGUUACGUAGAACUAAAAUAAAAGUUCUGCUAGAUAUGUAACUUUAUUAAUUUAUAAAUGUAUUUAUUUAUGAAAACAAUUAGAAAAAUUUAGACAUAUGCGAAGAUAAUGUAAAAUGUGUUCACAUUAUAAAAAAAUAACAAAAAAAAGAAAGAUAAUAACUAAAAUAGUAUUAUGUAAUUAAAAUAUAUUUAACAACAAAUAAAAAUACAAAAACAAAUGAAAAAAAUUAGCAAACAUCAAACAUUAACUAAAAUAGAUAUAAUAUUCUUCAUCAUUUAAAAUGUCAUAUUCGCCUAAAACACUAAAACACAAACCACCAAAACAAAAAAAAAACAAAUACUAUUAUACACAUCUCUUGCAAAUUCAAACCUAAAACACCAACCACCAAAUCAAACAAAAAAUAAAAACCGAAAUCACAA